rnacentral:misc_RNA from 1 species
GGAAUGUUCUUGACUGUACGCCUUAUGCUUGAGAAGAGCUCAGCUUUAUCAGUAAACCACUCUGGGAUAUCGCGAACAAUUCGCACAUCAUCCUUUAGGUAGUUAAUAAAAUGGUCUACAUCAAAUAUGUCCUCCAAUUUCGUUUGGUCUUUCCAUAUCUGGUCUUGCUUUAAUACUGGCAAAAUAAGGGUGGCAUUCAUAAUUUUGGCCACUGCAACAGCAUUGCAUAUAGCGAUCCUUUGCUGGUUUAAGCCACCCUCAGCAUGUAUGAAUAUAUAACCGUUUGUGGAGUUCUCAGGCGGAAUAUCUGACAUCAGUCCCUCACGUCGCUCCGCACAAGGCUUCCACGAGGUUGUUGAUGAAUAAGGAUUCUCCCACAAGGAAGAAGGUUCUUUCACCGGUGGACACUGAAGAGUUAUACCAUCCUUUUUGCACAAAUAUGGAGCAUUCAAACGAUGUACGACGGACGAAAUCAGGACAACUAGUGAAAGUAUGAGAACAACAAGCAGAAAUAGCGAGAUCUUGAACUUGUGAGGGUGAGACCUCGAUUCAUCAGGGAAGAAGAAAGGGAAAAUAGGUUGAAGAUGCGAAGAGAGGAAUGAACGAAACCGAUCUCGAGGAUACCGACCACGAUAAUCAUCAUCGUCAUCAUCAACGUUAGGAGCACUGUCAGGAACC